CCUACGGGAGGCAGCAGUGGGGAAUCUUGGACAAUGGGCGCAAGCCUGAUCCAGCAAUGCCGCGUGGGUGAAGAAGGCCUUCGGGUUGUAAAGCCCUUUCGGUGGGGAAGAAAUCGGUCAGGCGAAUAGUCUGGCUGGAUGACGGUACCCGCAGAAGAAGCACCGGCUAACUACGUGCCAGCAGCCGCGGUAAU
rnacentral:rRNA from 1 species